rnacentral:rRNA from 1 species
AAAUUGAAGAGUUUGAUCAUGGCUCAGAUUGAACGCUGGCGGCAGGCCUAACACAUGCAAGUCGAGCGGUAGCACAGAGAGCUUGCUCUCGGGUGACGAGCGGCGGACGGGUGAGUAAUGUCUGGGAAACUGCCUGAUGGAGGGGGAUAACUACUGGAAACGGUAGCUAAUACCGCAUAACGUCGCAAGACCAAAGUGGGGGACCUUCGGGCCUCAUGCCAUCAGAUGUGCCCAGAUGGGAUUAGCUAGUAGGUGGGGUAAUGGCUCACCUAGGCGACGAUCCCUAGCUGGUCUGAGAGGAUGACCAGCCACACUGGAACUGAGACACGGUCCAGACUCCUACGGGAGGCAGCAGUGGGGAAUAUUGCACAAUGGGCGCAAGCCUGAUGCAGCCAUGCCGCGUGUGUGAAGAAGGCCUUCGGGUUGUAAAGCACUUUCAGCGGGGAGGAAGGCGUUAAGGUUAAUAACCUCAUCGAUUGACGUUACCCGCAGAAGAAGCACCGGCUAACUCCGUGCCAGCAGCCGCGGUAAUACGGAGGGUGCAAGCGUUAAUCGGAAUUACUGGGCGUAAAGCGCACGCAGGCGGUCUGUCAAGUCGGAUGUGAAAUCCCCGGGCUCAACCUGGGAACUGCAUUCGAAACUGGCAGGCUAGAGUCUUGUAGAGGGGGGUAGAAUUCCAGGUGUAGCGGUGAAAUGCGUAGAGAUCUGGAGGAAUACCGGUGGCGAAGGCGGCCCCCUGGACAAAGACUGACGCUCAGGUGCGAAAGCGUGGGGAGCAAACAGGAUUAGAUACCCUGGUAGUCCACGCCGUAAACGAUGUCGAUUUGGAGGUUGUGCCCUUGAGGCGUGGCUUCCGGAGCUAACGCGUUAAAUCGACCGCCUGGGGAGUACGGCCGCAAGGUUAAAACUCAAAUGAAUUGACGGGGGCCCGCACAAGCGGUGGAGCAUGUGGUUUAAUUCGAUGCAACGCGAAGAACCUUACCUGGUCUUGACAUCCACAGAACUUUCCAGAGAUGGAUUGGUGCCUUCGGGAACUGUGAGACAGGUGCUGCAUGGCUGUCGUCAGCUCGUGUUGUGAAAUGUUGGGUUAAGUCCCGCAACGAGCGCAACCCUUAUCCUUUGUUGCCAGCGGUUCGGCCGGGAACUCAAAGGAGACUGCCAGUGAUAAACUGGAGGAAGGUGGGGAUGACGUCAAGUCAUCAUGGCCCUUACGACCAGGGCUACACACGUGCUACAAUGGCAUAUACAAAGAGAAGCGACCUCGCGAGAGCAAGCGGACCUCAUAAAGUAUGUCGUAGUCCGGAUUGGAGUCUGCAACUCGACUCCAUGAAGUCGGAAUCGCUAGUAAUCGUAGAUCAGAAUGCUACGGUGAAUACGUUCCCGGGCCUUGUACACACCGCCCGUCACACCAUGGGAGUGGGUUGCAAAAGAAGUAGGUAGCUUAACCUUCGGGAGGGCGCUUACCACUUUGUGAUUCAUGACUGGGGUGAAGUCGUAACAAGGUAACCGUAGGGGAACCUGCGGUUGGAUCACCUCCUUA